rnacentral:rRNA from 1 species
GAUGAACGCUGGCGGCGUGCUUAACACAUGCAAGUCGAACGGAAAGGCCCUGCUUUUGUGGGGUUCUCGAGUGGCGAACGGGUGAGUAACACGUGAGUAACCUGCCCUUGUCUUUGUGAUAACAUCAGGAGACUGGGGCUAAUACCGGAUAGGAGCUCCUGCUGCAUGUUGGGGGUUGGAAAGUGUCGGCGGUGGGGGAUGGACUCGCUGCUUAUCAGCUUGUUGGGGGGGUAGUGGCUGACCCAGGCUUCGACGGGUAGCCGGCAUGAGAGGGUGGCCGGGCACAUUGGGACUAAGAUACGGACCAGACUGGAACGGGAGGCAGUAGUGGGGAACAUUGCAGAAUGGGCGGACGCGUGAUGCAGAAGCGCCGCGUGCGGGAUGACGGCCUUCGGGUUGUAAACAACUUUCUACUGUGCCAAAGCGGGAGUGACGGUAAUGAAUAAAGAAGCACCGGCUAACUACGUG